GAUGAACGCUGGCGGCGUGCUUAACACAUGCAAGUCGAACGGUGAAGCCAAGCUUGCUUGGUGGAUCAGUGGCGAACGGGUGAGUAACACGUGAGCAACCUGCCCUGGACUCUGGGAUAAGCGCUGGAAACGGCGUCUAAUACUGGAUAUGAGACGUGAUCGCAUGGUCAACGUUUGGAAAGAUUUUUCGGUCUGGGAUGGGCUCGCGGCCUAUCAGCUUGUUGGUGAGGUAAUGGCUCACCAAGGCGUCGACGGGUAGCCGGCCUGAGAGGGUGACCGGCCACACUGGGACUGAGACACGGCCCAGACUCCUACGGGAGGCAGCAGUGGGGAAUAUUGCACAAUGGGCGGAAGCCUGAUGCAGCAACGCCGCGUGAGGGAUGACGGCCUUCGGGUUGUAAACCUCUUUUAGCAGGGAAGAAGCGAAAGUGACGGUACCUGCAGAAAAAGCGCCGGCUAACUACGUGCCAGCAGCCGCGGUAAUACGUAGGGCGCAAGCGUUAUCCGGAAUUAUUGGGCGUAAAGAGCUCGUAGGCGGUUUGUCGCGUCUGCUGUGAAAUCCCGAGGCUCAACCUCGGGCCUGCAGUGGGUACGGGCAGACUAGAGUGCGGUAGGGGAGAUUGGAAUUCCUGGUGUAGCGGUGGAGUGCGCAGAUAUCAGGAGGAACACCGAUGGCGAAGGCAGAUCUCUGGGCCGUAACUGACGCUGAGGAGCGAAAGGGUGGGGAGCAAACAGGCUUAGAUACCCUGGUAGUCCACCCCGUAAACGUUGGGAACUAGUUGUGGGGACCAUUCCACGGUUUCCGUGACGCAGCUAACGCAUUAAGUUCCCCGCCUGGGGAGUACGGCCGCAAGGCUAAAACUCAAAGGAAUUGACGGGGACCCGCACAAGCGGCGGAGCAUGCGGAUUAAUUCGAUGCAACGCGAAGAACCUUACCAAGGCUUGACAUACACCAGAACGGGCCAGAAAUGGUCAACUCUUUGGACACUGGUGAACAGGUGGUGCAUGGUUGUCGUCAGCUCGUGUCGUGAGAUGUUGGGUUAAGUCCCGCAACGAGCGCAACCCUCGUUCUAUGUUGCCAGCACGUAAUGGUGGGAACU
rnacentral:rRNA from 1 species